rnacentral:rRNA from 1 species
UGGGGAAUAUUGCACAAUGGGCGCAAGCCUGAUGCAGCCAUGCCGCGUGUAUGAAGAAGGCCUUCGGGUUGUAAAGUACUUUCAGCGGGGAGGAAGGUGUUGUGGUUAAUAACCACAGCAAUUGACGUUACCCGCAGAAGAAGCACCGGCUAACUCCGUGCCAGCAGCCGCGGUAAUACGGAGGGUGCAAGCGUUAAUCGGAAUUACUGGGCGUAAAGCGCACGCAGGCGGUCUGUCAAGUCGGAUGUGCAAUCCCCUGGCUCAACCUGGGAACUGCAUUCGAAACUGGCAGGCUAGAGUCUUGUAGAGGGGGGUAGAAUUCCAGGUGUAGCGGUGAAAUGCGUAGAGAUCUGGAGGAAUACCGGUGGCGAAGGCGGCCCCCUGGACAAAGACUGACGCUCAGGUGCGAAAGCGUGGGGAGCAAACA